UAUGACCAUAUCACGUUGAAAUACUUGUUCCCAUAUGAUCUCCGAAGUUAAGCAAACAUUGAUCCUGAUUAGUAUCUAGAUGGGUGAGUGCUUGAAAAUACCACAUGCUGUA